GUCUAUGGCCAUACCACCUGAAUGUGCCCGAUCUCAUCUGAUCUCGGAAGCUAAGCAGGGUCGGACCUGGUUAGUACUUGGAUGGGAGACUGUCUAAAAUCCAAAUGGAACCCACUCACA
rnacentral:rRNA from 1 species